UGCAAAAUGGAGAUCUUCUGGUUGCAGUCAGCUGGGGGAUUAGAACUGGAAUCACAGGUGGUUGUGGUUAGGAAACAGAAUGGGUCAGGGAUGUUUAUCAGCCAGGCAGCCCAGGUAACAGCUGUGCUGUGGUGAAGUGCUGCAGUGUUCACUGUGGGGACUGCCCUCUGCACAGAGAGCACAAGCUCAUGCUCCUACCUUUGCUGCUCAGGCUCGAUUUCGAACAGGCGCAGCUCCCGCCUCUGCUUGGCUGUGAAGGUUUUUGUCUUCCUCCUCUUUGGCUGCUUCCUCCUCCUGCAGUGGUGCUCCAGAACCACGGCCUUCCGCGUCAGCACGUCCUGGAUGGCUUCGUCCUUCUUCUGGGGCAUGCUGCGCUUCAGGAAGGCGCUCACAAACGCUUUGGCCCCCUCUGACCCUUGAGGCUGCAGGCGCAGCUCCUUCGCCGCCUCGCGGGGCAGCCCGCCGUACAGCACACCCUCCAUCGCAGUGCU
rnacentral:lncRNA from 1 species